rnacentral:rRNA from 1 species
UAGUCCACGCCGUAAACGAUGACAACUAGCCGUCGGGGCCCUUGAGGCUUUGGUGGCGCAGCUAACGCGGUAAGUUGUCCGCCUGGGGAGUACGGCCGCAAGGCUAAAACUCAAAUGAAUUGACGGGGGCCCGCACAAGCGGUGGAGCAUGUUGUUUAAUUCGGUGAUACGCGAGGAACCUUACCUAGGCUCUAAUGUGAUUGACCGGUUCUGAAAGGGACCUUUCCUUCGGGACAAGAAACAAGGUGCUGCAUGGUUGUCGUCAGCUCGUGCCGUGAGGUGUUGGGUUAAGUCCCGCAACGAGCGCAACCCCUAUCUUUAGUUGCCAGCACGUAAUGGUGGGGACUCUAGAGAGACUGCCGGCGUAAGCCGCGAGGAAGGUGGGGACGACGUCAAAUCAUCAUGGCCUUUAUGCCUAGGGCGACACACGUGCUACAAUGGCGGGCACAGAGGGUAGCGAAGCAGCGAUGUGGAGCCAAUCCCAGAAAGCCCGUCCCAGUUCGGAUUGGAGUCUGCAACUCGA